UUCCGGUUGAUCCUGCCGGAGGCUACCGCUAUUGGAGUUCGAUUAAGCCAUGCGAGUCGCGAGAAAUUAGAUUCUCGGCGUACCGCUCAGUAACACGUGGGUAACCUGCCCUAUGCUGGAUAAUAACCUCGGGAAACUGAGAAUAAUGAUCCAUAGUUCACUACGCCUGGAACGGUGAGUGGAUGAAAGCUCCGGCGGCAUAGGAUGGGCCUGCGGCGUAUCAGGUUGUAGGGGGUGUAACGUACCCUCUAGCCCUCUACGCGUACGGGUGUUGAGAGACAUCGCCCGGAGAUGGAUUCUGAGACACGAAUCCAGACCCUACGGGGUGCAGCAGGCGCGAAAACUUGGCAAUGCGAGAAAUCGUGACCAGGGAACUCCAAGUGCAUCGGGUAAGACCGAUGCUUUUCUAGACUCUAAAAAGGUCUUGGAAUAAGAGGUGGGUAAGGACGGUGCCAGCCGCCGCGGUAAUACCGGCGCCUCAAGUGGUAGUCGCUUUUAUUGGGCCUAAAACGUCCGUAGCCGGUCUGAUACAUUCGUGGGUAAAUCAACCAGCUUAACUGGUUGAAUUCUGCGAGGACGGUCAGACUUGGGACCGGGAGAGGUGUGGGGUACGCUCAGGGUAGGGGUAAAAUCCUGUCAUCCUGAGCGGACCACCUGUUGCGAAGGCGCCACACUAGAACGGAUCCGACGGUCAGGGACGAAGCCUAGGGGCACGAACCGGAUUAGAUACCCGGGUAGUCCUAGGUGUAAACGCUGUGGACUUGAUGUUGGGGGUGCUCCGAGCACUCUCAGUGUCGAAGCGAAGGUGAUAAGUCCACUGCCUGGGAAGUACGGUCGCAAGGCUGAAACUUAAAGGAAUUGGCGGGGGAGCACCGCAACCUGAGGAUUGUGCGGUUUAAUUGGAUUCAACGCCGGA
rnacentral:rRNA from 1 species